CUUUUUGGCCAUGCCACCCUGAAUGCCCCAAUCUCAUGUGAUGUCCAAAGCUAAGCAGGGUCUGGCUCGGUUAGUACUUGGAUGGGAAAGGGCUAAGAGGGAUGGCGGGGUGGAUGAGGAGG
rnacentral:rRNA from 1 species